CCUACGGGUGGCAGCAGUGAGGAAUAUUGGUCAAUGGGCGAGAGCCUGAACCAGCCAAGUCGCGUGAGGGAGUACUGCCCUAUGGGUUGUAAACCUCUUUUGUCGGGGAGCAAAAGCCGGACGUGUCCGGCUGUGAGAGUACCCGAAGAAAAAGCAUCGGCUAACUCCGUGCCAGCAGCCGCGGUAAUACGGAGGAUGCGAGCGUUAUCCGGAUUUAUUGGGGUUAAAGGGUGCGCAGGCGGAUUUUUAAGUCAGCGGUCAAAUCGUGGGGCUCAACCCCAUCCAGCCGUUGAAACUGUCGGUCUUGAGUGGGCGAGAAGUAUGCGGAAUGCGUGGUGUAGCGGUGAAAUGCAUAGAUAUCACGCAGAACUCCGAUUGCGAAGGCAGCAUACCGGCGCCCGACUGACGCUGAGGCACGAAAGCGUGGGUAUCGAACAGGAUUAGAUACCCCAGUAGUC
rnacentral:rRNA from 1 species